AAUGCAAACGAAGCGCCGAGCCAGCAAACCAGCUCCCACUGCCCCUCCCCUGCCCGCUGAGAGUGGCGGCUAGCAGGGUGGGGGGGCAGGAACUGAGGGGUGCGGAUCCGGGCCCCCCAGCCUGCGAAGCGCACUCGCAGGUCGAGCGGGCGUCGUCCACCCUUCGGAGCCCCGCUUUCAUGCGUGAAAUUCCCAGAAGUCGCCUGCGACCGCCUCCCUGCUUCAAACACCAGAGAGGGCCCGGGGUCCUGGCCGGAGACAGGCCGAACCUCCGGAGCUGCUUCUGCACCCGGUACAUUGAUCGAUCUGAUGGGCUGCGCGCCCGGAAGAGCUGGAGAGAUGAAGCCAGCGUCCAGCUUCUCCCCCAAACCACAGCACGCCGAGCUUUGUCCCCGGGGAGCGUGAAGUCACCAGCUCCGGGAGGCGACAAUAUGAGGGCGAUGGACGGGGCAGGGACCCCCGGAAGCCCCAGCAAUCCUCAGGGAAGUGGGGGUGCCGGAGGAGUCGGGGACACCCUCAGGCCUCUCCAAGCCCGGAGCAUCCCCAGCGCCCGCAGCCCUGUGAGACGCCGGGUGCUCUGGUAAUGGGCCCUGCCGCCAGGCCUCGGCGCUUUGUCCCCGGCCCGCCCGGGGAUGCUACCACGCUAGAGUUGUACACCAAGGUUUGUCUUCCCAGGAAGCGCUGGCGGCUGCCUUUGGGCCGCCUGGCGCGGAGCCCCAGGCUGCAGGCGCCGCGUGUGCGGGCGGGAAGUUCCCACAGUUGCAAAGAGGCAGCGAAGUAUGUGUUCCAAACUUUCCACGGUUCCAAACUGAGCGCUUCCAUUAAGAGAAGCGGUGUGCGGGGGAAAAGCAUUCUGGGUAUUAGCAUGCAAAUGAACGGGCCCGGCUUCCAACUCCGCUCGGGAUUCCCACCGCUGCGCGCCGAGCUCGCGCCCAGCCACGCGCGCCCUGAGGCUUCCGGGCGUUGCCCUGGCGGAUGAUCCGAGUUCAAAAUCGAGACCUCUGCCUUCUGGUUUCGUGUCCUGGUGCUUAGUCACUUGGCCUCCCUGAGAUUCAGUUAAACUGUUUCUUAACCUGUGCACAGGGACAGCAGCACCUGUCCUGCACACCUCCGCUCUAGGGCAUAGUACAUGCCAAACUCCUGUUGGAGAGAAUGAAUUAGAGGCAUGAAGAAAGUUCCCUGGACACGAAGCCAGGAGAUCUGUGUUCUAAGCCCAGACUCACUGUCACCUUAGGCUAGUGCCUCCCUCUCUGAGCCACAGCUUUCUUGGGCGGAUUUUGGGAACUGGCACGUUUUAUUUUUGAGAGAGCUGCUGGGAACAUCCACAGAGAAAGAGAAAGGGGCCGGGCGCGGUGGCUCACGCCUGUUAUCCCAGCACUUUGGGAGGCUGAGGCGGGCGGAUCACCUGAGGUCGGGAGUUCGAGACCAGUCUGACCAACACGGAGAAACCCCAUCUCUACUAAAAAUACAAAACUAGGCCGGGCGCAGUGGCUCAUGCCUGUAAUCCCAGCACUUUGGGAGGUCGAGGCAGGCGGAUCACCUGAGGUCGGGAGUUCUAGACCAGCCUGACCAACAUGGAGAAACCCCGUCUCUACUAAAAAUACAAAAUUAGCCGGGCGUGGUGGCACAUGCCUGUAAUCUCAGCUACUAGAGAGGCUGAGGCAGGAGAAUCGCUUGAACCUGGGAGGCGGAGGUUGCCGUGAGCCGAGAUCGUGCCAUUGCACUACAGCCUGGGCAACAAGAGCGAAACUCCGUCUCAAAAAAAAAAAAAAUACAAAAUUAGCCGGGCGUGGUGGCACAUGCCUAUAAUCCGAGCUACUGGGGAGGCUGAGGCAGGAGAAUCACUUGAACCCGGGAGGCGGAGUUGCGGUGAGCCGAGAUCGCGCCAUUGCACUCUAGCCUGGGCAACAAGAGCAAAACUGUUUCAAAAAAAAAAAAAAGAAGAAGAAAGAAAAGAAAAAGAGGUUUGCUCUGAGUGUCCAGUGUAUACACACAUCGUUUCUCCAUAGUAGGUACAGAUAUUCCUAUUCAACCAUUGGAACUGGGGAAGGUGAGUGACCUGCCCAAGGCCACACAGAUAGUGAUGGAGCCAGGAUUCAAACUGGUUAACUGCCCCUUUCUCACCAGUGGCUUCUGAAACCUGUCACCCGUCCAUGGCUCCACUUGAACCAGGAACUGACUCUCUGUCUGCUAUGCUUAGAAAACAAGGUGCCAUGACUGGCCCCAUUCCAGCGGAUUCACCCGGUGAAGGUGGGUUCAGAAGGUGGUGCUCUGAGGAAAACAGGGAACGUGCAUCAGCCCUGUUUUGCAGAUAGGAAGCCUGAGGUUCAAGGAGCCAGAGUGGUCCAGGAUCCCACCUUGGGGAAGUGGCCAGAGACAGUCCAGACGCCGUUCUGAUCCCACCUGGGAGCUUUUUUCCAAAUGUCGCCUUGGCAGUGUGAUUGUGGGGGUGGGAGUAACCUCUCUACUUCAUCCAUUACUCUCAGUCUUGCCCAUCUCUCAGGCUCCUAGGAAUCCAUUAUGUAACUUAAGGCAUGCUUGCAGAACAUGUCUUUUUUUUUUUUUUUUAGGUAACAUUCAACUGACAUAAAAUUAACAAUUUUAAAAUGUAUCAUUCACUAGCACCUAGUACAUUCACAAUGUUGUGCAACCAGCACGUCUGUCCAGUUGCAAAACAUUUUUAUCACCCCAAAAGAAAACUCCGUACACGUUAAGAAGUCACUUUCCAUUCCCUUCUCCCUUCAUCCCCUGGCAACCACCAAUCUGCAUUCUGUCUCUAUGGAUUUACCUAUUCUGGAUAUUUUUUUUAUUUAUUUAUUUUUUGAGACGAAGUCUCUGUCACCCAGGCUGGAGUGCAGUGGCGCGAUCUUGGCUCACUGCAAUCUCUACCUCCUGGGUUCAAGCGGUUCUCUUGCCUCAGUCUUCCAAGUAGCUGGGAUUACAGGCGCAUGCCACCGUGCCCGGCUAAUUGUUGUAUUUUUAGUAGAGAUGGGGUUUCGCCAUGUUGGCCAGACUGGUCUCGAACUCCUGACCUCAGGUGAUUUGUCCACCUCAGCCUCCCAAGGUGCUGGGAUUACAGACGUAAGCCACCAUGCCCAGCCUGGAUAUUUUAUUUAGUUGGAAUUAUACAAUACUGUAUGUGACCUUUUGAGUCUGGCUUGUUUCACUUAACGUAAUGUUUUCAAGGUUCAUUCAUGUUGUAGCAUGUAUAAAUACUUUGUUCCUUUUUAUGACUGGCUGAAUGAUACACCAUUGUAUGGAUAUACUACCUUUAUCCAUUCAUCCAUUGGUGGCCUUUUGGUUAUUAUGGAUAGUGCAACUAUGAACAUUUGUGCACAAGUAUGUAUUUGAGUGCCUAUCUUCAGUUCUCUUGGGUGUAUACCUAGGAGUGGAAUUGCUGGGUCAUAUGAUGGUUCUAUGUAUAACUUACUGAGGAACCACCAAACUCUUCCACAGUGACUGUACCAUUUUGCAUUCCUACCACACAUGUUUUUAUAAAUAAUUUUAGUGCUGGUCAAACCUCUCAUUUUAUGAAUGAGCAUGCUGAGGCCCAGAGAGGUUAAGUAACUUGCCCAGGGUCACACCCUUAGUCAGGAUCCAGACUAAAACCAAACUUUCCUGAGUUCCUAGACUUUCAAACACUAAGAGCCUCCCAUGUCACCUUUAAAGACCUCGACUACUUGCCCGAGUUUUCAUUAAUUGACUUAGAAACCUGCCUGGUGAACAACUGAGUUAGCCGUAUUUAUGAAGCUUUUUUUCUCUCAACAUCUAUUGAAAGAACCCACCGCCAUGUUCCGGAUUUCUAGGCCACACCUUGAAAACAUGCAGAGCUCACAAUCCCUGCAUCUGCCUCCUGCUGCUGGCCUGUCGGGCCCUCUUCUGUUGCCAUGGAAACCAUGCACCUCAGUUUUGGCAGCAGACCAGCUGGACAGCGAACUGAGAAUAUCCUUGUCUCCUAGGCUAAGCAGAGCUGUCAAGGUCAUGUAUUCAUUAACUAGAUUUGUAUUUAUUGAUCACCUACUAAGCACCAGGCUUUUGUUUUGUAAGAUGCUAGGGAUACAGCAGUGAACAAGCCAGACCACAGAUCCUGCCCUCAAGGAACCCGUAGUCUAGAGGAGACAGACAAAAACCAAGGAACAAAAAAGGCUUUACCUGGCUCCUCUCCCUAGUUCACAUUCUCCCAACCUUCCAGGCUGUGCUAAAAUCCACUUCCCCUGGACCAUCCCCGGAAGAGCCCAAAUGCAGGUGAUAGCUCCUCUCAGGAUUUACAUUGCAUUUUUUGUUGUUACUCCCUGAUUGUAAAAGUGCUAUGUGCAUUGUGGAAAAUGUAGGAGAUACACAAAAGCACAAAGAAGAAAAAUUAAAUAAAGAUCUGUAAUUUCACCACCAAGAGUCGA